rnacentral:rRNA from 1 species
CGAGAGGGUUCGGCCCUCGGCGGACUGCUCAGUAACACGUGGAUAACCUGCCCUGAGGUGGGGCAUAACCCCGGGAAACUGGGGAUAAUACCCCAUAGGAUACCGUAACUGGAAUGUUUGGUAUCCGAAAGCCCCGGCGCCUCAGGAUGGAUCUGCGGCCGAUUAGGUAGUUGUUGGGGUAACGGCCCAACAAGCCCGUAAUCGGUACGGGUUGUGGGAGCAAGAGCCCGGAGAUGGACUCUGAGACACGAGUCCAGGCCCUACGGGGCGCAGCAGGCGCGAAAACUUUACAAUGCAGGCAACUGUGAUAAGGGAACCCCGAGUGCCCGUAUACGCGGGCUGUUCGGAUGUCCAAAACGCAUCCGGAGAAAGGGCCGGGCAAGACCGGUGCCAGCCGCCGCGGUAAUACCGGCGGCUCGAGUGGUGGCCGCUUUUAUUGGGCUUAAAGCGUCCGUAGCUGGAUUGUUAAGUCCCUUGGGAAAUCCGCCGGCUCAACCGGCGGGCGUCUAAGAGAUACUGGCAAUCUAGGGACCGGAAGAGGUGAGAGGUACUC